rnacentral:rRNA from 1 species
UACGUAGGGGGCAAGCGUUAUCCGGAAUUAUUGGGCGUAAAGAGUACGUAGGUGGUUACCUAAGCACGGGGUAUAAGGCAAUGGCUCAACCAUUGUUUGCCUUGUGAACUGGGCUACUUGAGUGCAGGAGAGGAAAGCGGAAUUCCUAGUGUAGCGGUGAAAUGCGUAGAUAUUAGGAGGAACACCAGUGGCGAAGGCGGCUUUCUGGACUGUAACUGACACUGAGGUACGAAAGCGUGGGGAGCAAACAGGAUUAGAUACCCUGGUAGUCCACGCCGUAAACGAUGAGCACUAGGUGUCGGGGUCGUAAGACUUCGGUGCCGCAGUUAACGCAAUAAGUGCUCCGCCUGGGGAGUACGUUCGCAAGAAUGAA